AACGAACGCUGGCAGCAUGCCUAACACAUGCAAGUCGAACGAGACCUUCGGGUCUAGUGGCGCACGGGUGCGUAACGCGUGGGAACUUGCCCUUAGGUUCGGAAUAACUCCCCGAAAGGGGUGCUAAUACCGGAUAAUGUCAUCGGACCAAAGAUUUAUCGCCUUUGGAUGGGCCCGCGUUGGAUUAGCUAGUUGGUAGGGUAAAAGCCUACCAAGGCGACGAUCCAUAGCUGGUCUGUGAGGAUGAUCAUCCACACUGGGACUGAGGCACGGCCCAGACUCCUACGGGAGGCAGCAGUGGGGAAUAUUAGACAAUGGGCGAAAGCCUGGUCCAGCAAUGCCGCGUGAGUGAGGCAGGCCUUAGGGUUGUAAAGCUCUUUUACCCGGGAUGAUAAUGACAGUACCGGGAGAAUAAGCACCGGCUAACUCCGUG
rnacentral:rRNA from 1 species